AGGAUUUGACAUAUAUUUGCAUUUCUUUGAAAAAAGAAAGUUCAAACGAAUAUACAGGUGGUGCAUGGCUGUCGUCAGCUCGUGCCGUGAGGUGUUGGGUUAAGUCCCGCAACGAGCGCAACCCUUAUCUUUUGUUACAGAAUUUAUUCUAACUAAAGAGACUGCCGGUGAUAAAUCGGAGGAAGGUGAGGAUGACGUCAAGUCAGCAUGCCCCUUACAUUCUGGGCUACACACGUGCUACAAUGGUUAGGACAAAGAGAUGCGACCUCGCGAGAGCAAGCCAACCUCAAAAACCUAAUCUUAGUUCGGAUUGCAGGCUGCAACUCGCCUGCAUGAAGUUGGAAUCGCUAGUAAUCGCCGGUCAGCAAUACGGUGGUGAA
rnacentral:rRNA from 1 species